UAAAAAUUAAAGCCAAAUAGUAUCAUGACCAACUUCCAACGGAGCUUGUUUAUGUUAUCCAUGCCCACCGUCAUUUUGCACCAAAUUUAUGAAAUUUUGCAAGUCUUUUCGAAUAAUUCUCUAGAAAAUAUUUCAAUAGGUUUCAAAAUUUAUAUUGUAAAUAUACACACUGCAGUUAUUCAUAGAUAAAUAAAAAAUAUAUUGUACCCUUACAUCCAAUCACAGCGCUCCUAAUUUGACUUCCUUCACCUGCCUUGGGUACACAAAAGGCCAACCUAAUGCUGGGAAAAUUAAAUACUACCGUUUUCCCUAUACUGUGACAUAAAGAUAUAAAGAAUUCUUAUGACAUUAUUAAUGCAAUACUGGGCUAUUGUGAAAACCUUGGCUAUAAUAAAUACUUGUAUGUCCCCAGUACUUAAAGAAACAUAGAUCAUUUUAUGUCCCCACCCCUACAUGCUGGUUUACCUCAUUCUCUACUUCUUUCAGAAAAGCCUUAAUAAACAACCUGUAUCCAAUCAUAUCUUAUCUUAUUUAAAAAGAAUGAUAAAUAGUUCCAUUUAAACAGAUAAAAUGGACAGUUCCAUUCAAUUUGUAUUCAUUUUAUCAAAAAUUUACAACAAAUGCACAAAUUCAAGAUUUUUCAUACUAAUCUCCAUUCCAUGCUUUAGU
rnacentral:lncRNA from 1 species